rnacentral:tmRNA from 1 species
GGGGCUGAUUCUGGAUUCGACGGGAUUUGCGAAACCCAAGGUGCAUGCCGAGGGGCGGUUGGCCUCGUAAAAAGCCGCAAAAAAUAGUCGCAAACGACGAAAACUACGCUUUAGCAGCUUAAUAACCUGCUUAGAGCCCUCUCUCCCUAGCCUCCGCUCUUAGGACGGGGAUCAAGAGAGGUCAAACCCAAAAGAGAUCGCGUGGAAGCCCUGCCUGGGGUUGAAGCGUUAAAACUUAAUCAGGCUAGUUUGUUAGUGGCGUGUCCGUCCGCAGGUGGCAAGCGAAUGUAAAGACUGACUAAGCAUGUAGUACCGAGGAUGUAGGAAUUUCGGACGCGGGUUCAACUCCCGCCAGCUCCACCA